rnacentral:rRNA from 1 species
UACGGGGGGGGGCAAGCGUUGUUCGGAAUUACUGGGCGUAAAGGGCUCGUAGGCGGCCAACUAAGUCACACGUGAAAUCCCCAGGCUUAACCUGGGAACUGCGUGUGAUACUGGAUGGCUUGAAUUCGGGAGAGGGAUGCAGAAUUCCAGGUGUAGCGGUGAAAUGCGUAGAUAUCUGGAGGAAUACCGGUGGCGAAGGCGGCAUCCUGGACCGACAUUGACGCUGAACGGCGAAAGCUAGGGGAGCAAAACGGG